rnacentral:rRNA from 1 species
UACGUAGGGGGCAAGCGUUGUCCGGAAUUAUUGGGCGUAAAGAGCGUGUAGGCGGCCAGAUAAGUCCGCUGUGAAAUCUCGAGGCUCAACUUCGAGCUGUCGGUGGAAACUGUCUGGCUAGAGUCCGGAAGAGGAGAAUGGAAUUCCUGGUGUAGCGGUGAAAUGCGCAGAUAUCAGGAAGAACACCCGUGGCGAAGGCGGCCCACUGGAUCGGUACUGACGCUGAGGUGCGAAAGCGUGGGGAGCAAACAGG